rnacentral:misc_RNA from 1 species
UUUCCGUAGGUGAACCUGCGGAGGGAUCAUUAACACGUUCCAAACCCUAUCAACCAACCUGUGAACUUUGUAUCUGCCUCAGCUUCGAUAUUGGCAACAGUAUCGAAAACUUUGGUUUGGCUGUCUGUAGUACGCUGUAUUUCGAGUCUCGAUGGUGGUUGGAGAGGUCAUACUCUUAAUUCGACUCCAGUGUAUCGUGAGAAGUCGCUUAGAGUUUCUUAGCAGCGCCAAAUCAAAGGAGGCCCAACCUAAUAGAUCAAACAGCUGACCAUCAGUUGUUGAUCUGUUAAACCUUUGCCACUCGCCCUUUUUGAAGGUUGUUUAGUUUACUCAAUCGACCUUACAAAACAGAAUUAAUCAAUUUCUAUCUGCGACUGACCGUGUCUGAUCGUUAUCUCUAAGCUAGCGUAUCUUUGACUGCAGUGUGUAGCAACAAAAAAACUAACAGAGUAAUACAACUCUUAGCAAUGGAUAUCUUGGUUCUC